UGGGAUGCCCUGAUAACUCCCAAAGCAUC
rnacentral:piRNA from 1 species